rfam:Bombyx mori DNA, contig: Bm_scaf69_contig30719, strain: p50T/Dazao, build 2, whole genome shotgun sequence.
UUAACUCAAAUUUGUAUAGAGUAUGAACAGCUUCCUUUCGUUUGCCGCUAAGGACGUUGUCCCAACUCCAUACAAAUUUGAGUUA